UAACUACUCCCUCCGUCCAACAAAGGAUGUCUCAACUUUGAUCAAAUUUGAAUGCACCCAGAUACAUCCAAAUUUUAUCAAACUUGAGACAUCUUUUGUUGACGGAGGAAGUAUAAU
rfam:Brachypodium distachyon strain Bd21 chromosome 3, whole genome shotgun sequence.